rnacentral:rRNA from 1 species
GAUGAACGCUAGCGGCAGGCUUAAUACAUGCAAGUCGAGGGGCAGCAGGACGGUAGCAAUACCGUUGCUGGCGACCGGCAAACGGGUGCGGAACACGUACGCAACCUACCCAUAACUGGGGGAUAGCCCGGGGAAACCCGGAUUAAUACCUCGUAACCUUAUGAAGUGGCAUCGCUUUAUAAGUAUAGCUCCGGCGGUUAUGGAUGGGCGUGCGCCUGAUUAGGUAGUUGGCGGGGUAACGGCCCACCAAGCCUGCGAUCAGUAACUGGUGUGAGAGCACGACCAGUCACACGGGAACUGAGACACGGGCCCGACUCCUACGGGAGGCAGCAGUAAGGAAUAUUGGUCAAUGGACGCAAGUCUGAACCAGCCAUGCCGCGUGAAGGAUGAAGGUCCUCUGGAUUGUAAACUUCUUUUAUAGGGGAAGAAAUCUGAAUAUUCCUAUUCAGUUGACGGUACCCUAGGAAUAAGCACCGGCUAACUCCGUGCCAGCCGCCGCGGUAAUAC